rnacentral:lncRNA from 1 species
UGAAUCUGUCUACAUUUUCACACACAGGCCAAUAAGGUAGCCAUUUGGGUAUCCAAGUGUCUAUCAAAGCCUAUUAGAUGUCUGCAUUUAGCCAGAAGCCUGAGGAGAUGCAGGAUGGUAUAAGCUGUUAAGAUGAACGGCAGUUUGAAGUGGGCAAGCUGACACUUGGAAAUGGCAAAGGAGCCCGAAAAGGACCAAAUUACACCAAAACAUGACUGCUUAUCUCAUGAGGCAUUAUUUAUUGAGGAGGCCCAAACACAUUUUAAACAAUGUGAGCUGUGCUGAGACAACAAGAUGUUGGGCCAAAUUCCCAAACCCCUGACUCUUUGGCCAUCUGAUGCCAGUAUGGAUUUCAGAAUAUGAGACACUGAGCACAGAUGUUGGGCAAAGAAACUUCUGGUAUAGAGGAAGACAACGAAGGAUGGACACAAGAACCACUGCAAGAACUAGAAUUAAAGUACAGCUGGCAAAGCACACUGACCAUGGAGGUGAUAGCUUCAGAAUUUCUGACUACCCCAGGUUCACGAGAACAUCAAGAGAGAGACAACACUGGAGGUCAUGACUGGAGAUCAGUUGAGGAAUAAUUAGGAGAAAGGAUUUUUCUGGGAAAAGAACUUGGUUACGCAUGAUUGAACACGCCCUACACCUGGAACUGGGACAUAAAAGGCAGCAGUGAGAACGGAUGUGAAUAGAUUCUAUCCCA